AGGCAGCCCUUUGUUUAUUACAAUUUCUAUGGAGGUGUUGUGUUGCUUGGAGAUUAAAUCUUCUGCUCUUCAGAUCAGCUGAGGGGGCGCUUGCUUCCCUCUUCGAAGUUGGCCUAGUAGUCUUAAGAACAAU
rfam:Triticum aestivum genome assembly, contig: Triticum_aestivum_CS42_TGACv1_scaffold_061166_1DL